GCAAGUCGCACGGUGUAGCAAUACACAGUGGCGCACGGGUGAGUAAUGUAUCGCUAAUGUGCCCCGGAGACAGGGAUAGCUGCCCGAAAGGGCAGGUAAUACCUGAUGAUAUAACCUUGUCGCAUGGCAGGGUUCUCAAAAGCAGCAAUGUGCUCUGGGAGCAGGCGAUAUCGUAUCAGCUAGUUGGUGAGGUAACGGCUCACCAAGGCGACGACGCGUAGCUGGUCUGAGAGGACGACCAGCCACAUCGGGACUGAGACACUGCCCGGACUCCUACGGGGGGCUGCAGUAACGAAUCUUCCGCAAUGUACGAAAGUAUGACGGAGCGACGCCGCGUGGAGGAGAAGUCCUUCGGGAUGUAAACUCCUGUCAGGGGAAAGAAAGUUCUGAUCUACCCCAGAGGAAGAGGCGGCUAACUCUGUGCCAGCAGCCGCGGUAAUACAGAGGCCUCGAGCGUUAGGCGGAAUCACUGGGCUUAAAGCGUGUGUAGGUGGAUGCCUAAGUACCUUGUGAAAUCCACGGCUUAACCGUGGAA
rnacentral:rRNA from 1 species